rnacentral:lncRNA from 1 species
AUGGCUGAGGUUGGAAGGGACCUCUGGAGGUCACCCAAUCCAACCCCUGCCGAGCAGGAUCACCUGGAGCACACUGCACAGGAUGGCAUCCAGGCGGGUUGUGAACAUCUCCAGAGCAGGAGACUCACACAGGAGAGAGACACAACCUCUGGCCAACCCGUCCCAGUGCUGUCAGCUCACAGCACAGAAGCGCCCCUCAUGUGGAGCCGGGACCAGUUUGCGCCUGCUGCCCCUCAUCCUGUGGCUGAGCAUAACCGAAAAGAAACCGCUCCCAUCCCCCCGUGCCCACCCCUCAGGUGUUUUUAUAUAUUAACGAGGUCUCCUUUCAGUCUUCUUUUUUCCCAACCCAAACAAGCCCAGCUCUCUCAGCCUGCCCUCACAGCCCAGCUCUCUCCAUCCCCCUCUCGCCAUGCCCUUUCUGCUCCCCCCUCCCAAGCACACCCUCAGCGCCCCUCAGAGCGCGGCCCCGCGGCCCUCCCCGCACCGGGGGGGCGCCGGCAGAGCCGGGUCACGGCCGCCCCCCCCUCACCCAGCACCUCCCGGGGGCUGCCCCCCGCGGCACCCACCCUGAGGGCCGGGGGGGAGCGCAGCGGCCGCCGAAGGUCACGGAGCGGGGACAGCCACCGGUGCCGCUGCGGGGGACGCCGGGAAGGGGAGGCACCGGCCCGGGAGGAGCUGCCGCGGCCCGGGCAGCGCCCUCUGCAGCCGCGGAGGAGCGGAGCCCGGCUCCCGGCCGCUCCUCCCGGCACCGGGGUGCCUGGGGAGCGGGCGGCACCGGCAGGCAGCCCCCCGUUGAGGCGGCUCCGCGCCUGGGGGCUGCUUCCCUGGGUGGAAGGAGGGAUGUGGUGGCGGACCCCGGGACUGGGAGGGGGCCAUGCUUCGUGUAGUGACUGGGAUGGGACCGUGCUUCGUGCUGUGACCGGGACAGGAGCGCGUUUCGCCCCGGGGGAAGCGCAAACGGGGGCAACCACCGGGUCCUCCCCGCUCCGCCCGCCGCCCCCCACAACAUGGCGGCCACCUCCCCUCAGCGCCGCCGCCCGGCUGAGGCGCCCGGUCACGUGGUGCGGGCGGGGCCAGGCCGAGAGCGGGAAAAGGGCGGCCGUGUGA